CCCCACCUUGGUUCUGUAAAAGGGUUGGAUCCGACGCCUCUAGAAGGCUACUAUAGACUCUCCUUCUCAACUCCUACUCAAUACGUCCGCGUCGUGCAGAACGGUAACUUGUCGCCUAGAUCCAAGCUUGGGUACACGGGGAAACCCAACCACUUGGGCGGACGGGCGGCAAGGCUGAAUUGAGAGGU
rfam:Anopheles epiroticus strain epiroticus2 unplaced genomic scaffold supercont1.1232, whole genome shotgun sequence.